CCUACAACAACCCUCCUCCUUUAUUCGGACUUGAGACAGACCAAGUAUAAACUACUUAGGCGGAACUUAAAUUGGCCAUGAAUAUUCUCAAAAAAGUAAAUAUACAUAAAAAUAGCAAAAUAUACAUAAAAAUUGCGUAAUGAAACUGUAUAAGGUGUACCACAGUUAUAUCACACAGAAGAAGCCAGCCAAUUCCACUAUUGUGGUGGAAGAGCUUUGGUAGGUGCGCCAAAUUUAACUUUAUUCCUAAGAAGUACAAUGUCCA
rnacentral:misc_RNA from 1 species